rnacentral:rRNA from 1 species
CCUGAUUGACCCUUUUCGCCAACGAGUGGCGGACGGGUGAGUAACACGUAGGUAACCUGCCCAGAAGCGGGGGACAACAUUUGGAAACAGAUGCUAAUACCGCAUAACAGCGUUGUUCGCAUGAACAACGCUUAAAAGAUGGCUUCUCGCUAUCACUUCUGGAUGGACCUGCGGUGCAUUAGCUUGUUGGUGGGGUAACGGCCUACCAAGGCGAUGAUGCAUAGCCGAGUUGAGAGACUGAUCGGCCACAAUGGGACUGAGACACGGCCUAUACUCCUACGGGAGGCAGCAGUAGGGAAUCUUCCACAAUGGGCGCAAGCCUGAUGGAGCAACACCGCGUGAGUGAAGAAGGGUUUCGGCUCGUAAAGCUCUGUUGUUAAAGAAGAACACGUAUGAGAGUAACUGUUCAUACGUUGACGGUAUUUAACCAGAAAGUCACGGCUAACUACGUGCCAGCAGCCGCGGUAAUACGUAGGUGGCAAGCGUUAUCCGGAUUUAUUGGGCGUAAAGCGAGCGCAGGCGGUUUGAUAAGUCUGAUGUGAAAGCCUUUGGCUUAACCAAAGAAGUGCAUCGGAAACUGUCAGACUUGAGUGCAGAAGAGGACAGUGGAACUCCAUGUGUAGCGGUGGAAUGCGUAGAUAUAUGGAAGAACACCAGUGGCGAAGGCGGCUGUCUGGUCUGCAACUGACGCUGAGGCUCGAAAGCAUGGGUAGCGAACAGGAUUAGAUACCCUGGUAGUCCAUGCCGUAAACGAUGAGUGCUAGGUGUUGGAGGGUUUCCGCCCUUCAGUGCCGCAGCUAACGCAUUAAGCACUCCGCCUGGGGAGUACGACCGCAAGGUUGAAACUCAAAGGAAUUGACGGGGGCCCGCACAAGCGGUGGAGCAUGUGGUUUAAUUCGAAGCUACGCGAAGAACCUUACCAGGUCUUGACAUCUUGCGCCACCCUAGAAAAUAGGGCGUUUCCUUCGGGAACGCAAUGACAGGUGGGUGCAUGGUCGUCGUCAGCUCGUGUCGUGAGAAUGUU